CUGUUUGGGCUUGUUCUGACGGCACCCAUUCACUGCAGAGGAUCCAUUGGUGAGCAAGUGAUAUAAUGCUACAUUUCCUCAAAACUGUUCCAAUGAAGAAAUGCUCAUCUACAGCUUGGAUGGCCUUAUAUAGAGAUGAGGGGGAGGCGUGCUGACGUUGACCCAGAAGUGAAGUGAUGCGUGGAGGACAGACAGCAGUAACAGCAAGAGAGAACAGGUUGCUUAACAGUUGCUUUUCUACAGGCCAAAUUAAAGUCAUUUUGUGACUGACACGACUAAUUCAGUACUCCGCAAGCUGGCUGUUGAUUGGUUCCCCUCAGGCCUGCCACAGACAGCAUCAGGAUACAGAACUGUUUCCCAUUCAUGGUACUCUCAGAUGAGACGGAGGAUUCAGGGCUGGAUUAGCAGUGUUGACAGGUGUAAAACCCACAAACAAGAGGAGAAAGUCUGUGUGCACGUAUGCGUACAGAUGUGAGCGUAUCUGCUUCCUUGCAACAAAUAUCUCAACUUUCACUUCAAUCCUGCACUUUUUUUUGUGAACAUAAAAAAAAAAAUAUCCAUUUGGAUCAAAAACCCAAUAUCACAAUGGAGCACUGAAGAUAUAUUUUCUGUUUCAUUCGUCUGUAAAAUCCCAAGGCUUAUAGAAAAAUAAGUGGGUAUUACUCUGGAGAUGGUUUGGAUAUUACACAGAGUACGACAAAAGAUCAGGGUAUGAGAGAGAGUUAUCUCCAGCUUUGCUCUACAGGCCACAUUUACGGCUCAAGCUGAAGGAAAUCGCAUUAAAAUUUCAAGCUUUGUUAAGUUUAAUCUUCAGGACGAUCGUUUUAAAUGAAUGUGCUUUCGAAUACAGACUUCAUCAGCAAUUUGGAUACUUUUGCUAGCAUCUCUCAUUCACUUUGACCUUCUGUGAAGAUUCAGCCUGUUUAAACAUGACUAUGAAAUGGGUUUAGGACAAUAUAUGCCAGGGGGUUUUAAUGAAAA